CCCAAUCGGUUCUUUUUGUAAUUCUGCAUUCUAUUUGGAAAUUUUGCAGCAGUGGAGCAACCACAGUUUAACGACUAUGGUAAUGAUUCUUUCUUCAUACAGCUUCGCGUGGGUACCUUGUACGCCUCAAUCGGAACUCGGAUGAAGAAGUUAUGGUCAUUAUGAUAGUACAAGGUCGCACAAAGGUCGUAGCCUUCAUCAAAUGGCCAUAACUGGUUCUAUCAAAACAAAUAUGGUGUGUCAAAGUGGAUUUAUCUUGUGGGAAAGAAGAAUGAUAGAUUUUUUUUUAUUACCUCUUGAGAUGAGAAAUCAAAACUCUUGCUUCAAUACUUGCUCUUCCGUUGAGAAUUGAGAAAAAAAGUAUGUGACGGCUGAGUGUAAAUUAGGUAUGGGAAUGAAUGAUAGUGAGAGCAGAAUAAAUUGAUAUACCGUGUUUUGCACGAUAAAUUUUGGUAAUUGAUUCUCAAGAAUCAAGAUAGUUGAAAUUAUAGGCUGAUGGGUGACUAAUUUUGGAGCAGAUUGAAGAGUGGAGGAAAACGGUAGGAGCCUGGGGAGAGGGUGUAAAACUGGAGAGGUAAAACUAAAGCCCUCCACUUCUUUGUCUCAGUAGUGUCUCAUCUCUUAACUAUUCACAAGUCUCAGUGCAUUUUUUACCUCAUUUCUUAAUUUAGAGAUAACACGUGUAAUCCUUCGUAUCUUAAACAUCUCAUCCUUUAA